AAUCAACGCUGGCGGCGUGCCCCAGACAUGCAAGUCGAACGCGAAAGUCCCCUUCGGGGGACAAGUAGAGUGGCGCACGGGUGAGUAACACGUAGGUAAUCUACCUUCGGAUGGGGAAUAACAACCGGAAACGGUUGCUAAUACCGCAUAAUGCAGCGGCACCUAAUGGUGACAGUUGUUAAAGCGGGGGAUCGAAAGACCUCGCGUCUGAAGAGGAGCCUGCGGCGGAUUAGCUAGNGGUAAGGUAAUGGCUUACCAAGGCGACGAUCCGUAGCCGGCCUGAGAGGGCGGUCGGCCACACUGACACUGACAUACGGGUCAGACUCCUACGGGAGGCAGCAGUCGGGAAUUUUGGGCAAUGGGCGAAAGCCUGACCCAGCAACGCCGCGUGAAGGAUGAAAUCCCUCGGGAUGUAAACUU
rnacentral:rRNA from 1 species